CUUUCUUUCUUUUUUUAUUUAGCAGGAUCAACCUCGAUUCCUCCCAUCCGCUCACAAUAAGCCUCAGCAUUUUACCGGACAGCACUCCACAAGUGCACUGAUUCGGCCUCAACCUCAGUCUGAGUUGUCUCAAUCCGGUCAAACAACUUGCCCCGGUCUACCGGAUGCCUGUAACACCCUUCUAAAAUACCCCAAUUAUUUAAUUAAAA
rnacentral:lncRNA from 1 species